UACGUAGGGGGCGAGCGUUGUCCGGAAUCAUUGGGCGUAAAGCGCGCGUAGGCGGCUUUGUAAGUCAGAGGUGAAAUCCCGGGGCUCAACUCCGGAACUGCCUUUGAAACUGCAUCGCUUGAAUCCGGGAGAGGUGAGUGGAAUUCCGAGUGUAGAGGUGAAAUUCGUAGAUAUUCGGAAGAACACCAGUGGCGAAGGCGGCUCACUGGACCGGCAUUGACGCUGAGGUGCGAAAGCGUGGGGAGCAAACAGG
rnacentral:rRNA from 1 species